rnacentral:rRNA from 1 species
UACGUAGGGUGCAAGCGUUGUCCGGAAUUAUUGGGCGUAAAGAGCUCGUAGGUGGUUUGUCGCGUUGUUCGUGAAAACUCACAGCUCAACUGUGGGCGUGCGGGCGAUACGGGCAGACUGGAGUACUGCAGGGGAGACUGGAAUUCCUGGUGUAGCGGUGGAAUGCGCAGAUAUCAGGAGGAACACCGGUGGCGAAGGCGGGUCUCUGGGCAGUAACUGACGCUGAGGAGCGAAAGCGUGGGGAGCGAACAGG